AAUGAACGUUGGCGGCGUGGAUUAGGCAUGCGAGUCGUACGAGAACCCGCAAGGGGGAAAGUGGCGAACGGGGUAGUAAUGCGUAGGUGACGUGCCCUGCGGUCGGGGAUAGCUUAGGGAAACUUAAGGUAAUACCCGAUGACACCAUGAGGUUUGAAUACCAUAUGGUCAAAGGUGUGAUUCCACCACAGGAGCGGCUUGCGUGGUAUUAGCUAGUUGGUGAGGUAACGGCUCACCAAGGCAACGAUGCCUAGGGGAUGUUAGCGCAUGAUCCCCACCACUGGGACUGAGAUACUGCCCAGACACCUACGGGUGGCUGCAGUCGAGAAUCUUCGGCAAUGGGGGAAACCCUGACCGAGCGACGCCGCGUGUGGGAUGAAGGCCCUUGGGUUGUAAACCACUGUCAGAGGGGAUGAAGUGCUAGAGAGCUAUCUCUCUAGUUUGACAUAGCCUCAGAGGAAGCACGGGCUAAGUUCGUGCCAGCAGCCGCGGU
rnacentral:rRNA from 1 species